rnacentral:rRNA from 1 species
AUUGAACGCUGGCGGCAGGCCUAACACAUGCAAGUCGAGCGAUUUACUUCGGUAAAGAGCGGCGGACGGGUGAGUAACGCGUGGGUAACCUGCCUCAUACACAUGGAUAACAUACCGAAAGGUAUGCUAAUACAAGAUGAUAUAAGAGAUUCGCAUGGAUUUCUUAUCAAAGCUCCGGCGGUAUGAGAUGGACCCGCGUCUGAUUAGCUAGUUGGUAAGGUAACGGCUUACCAAGGCGACGAUCAGUAGCCGACCUGAGAGGGUGAUCGGCCACAUUGGAACUGAGACACGGUCCAAACUCCUACGGGAGGCAGCAGUGGGGAAUAUUGCACAAUGGGCGAAAGCCUGAUGCAGCAACGCCGCGUGAGCGAUGAAGGCCUUCGGGUCGUAAAGCUCUGUCCUCAAGGAAGAUAAUGACGGUACUUGAGGAGGAAGCCCCGGCUAACUACGUGCCAGCAGCCGCAGUAAGAC